CCAACGGCCUUUCUAAAGGCCACCACAUAUUCCAAAGAGCCAAUACU
rfam:Orchesella cincta Ocin01_Sc0203, whole genome shotgun sequence.